rnacentral:lncRNA from 1 species
CACAGAGGUGUUUCCAGAGGGAUGGAUUCAGUCACAGAGGUGUUUCCAGAGGGAUGGAUUCAGUCACAGAGGUGUUUCCAGAGGGAUGGAUUCAGUCACAGAGGUGUUUCCAGAGGGAUGGAUUCAGUCACAGAGGUGUUUCCAGAGGGAUGGAUUCAGUCACAGAGGUGUUUCCAGAGGAUGGAUUCAGUCACACGGAGGUUUCCAGAGGGAUGGAUUCAGUCACACAGAGGUUUCCAGAGGGAUGGAUUCAGUCACACAGAGGUUUCCAGAGGGAUGGAUUCAGUCACAGAGGUGUUUCCAGAGGGAUGGAUUCAGUCACAGAGGUGUUUCCAGAGGAUGGAUUCAGUCACACGGAGGUUUCCAGAGGGAUGGAUUCAGUCACACAGAGGUUUCCAGAGGAUGGAUUUAUUCCUGCACACAGAGGUGUUUCCAGCCUGGCAGAGCUGUCAGGGCCCUGUGGUUUCUGCAGCCUGGGGAGCAGCCAGGAGGCAGCUCAGCCUCUGCUCCAUUCAUGCCUUCCCUGAAUCACAUUCCUGUGCCCUUAGUCACCCUUUGGUUGGCUCAGCUACAAACAGGCUGCAGUUUGUUCCCUUUCCUGCCUCCCCAGCCCUGCCUUUGCUGGGAGUCCCAGCUCUGCAGCUCCAGGCACGGGCUCUGCCUGCCUGGGCAGGGAAAUGCCCUCAGGAGGGGCUUCCAAGCCCUCGGCAGGGUGGGCUCCAUUUCCAGCAGGUGCCCGUCAGGGGCUCCUGGGAAUGGUUCCAUUCCCCCUCUGCAGGUUUCUGGUUUGUAUUUCUUGUUUCGAGGCGUUGUUUGUGCAGCGGGGAUGGGAAGUGGGGAGGUGUGAGAGCAUUCCCACCAGGAUGUGCAGCUCCUGGGGGUUUGUUGGGGCUGCCUCUAAGGUUUGGUGAUGGGCCACGGGCUCAGAGGCUGCAGGAGCCCCGAGGGCUCGGCUGGGGACAGGGAUGGAGGGACAGGACACAGGGAUGGAGGGACAGGACACGGGGAUGGAGGGACAGGACGGGGGGGGGGGGGGGGGGGGGGGGGGGGGGGGGGGGGGGGGGGGGGGGGGGGGGGGGGGGGGGGGGGGG